GCGGUUGUGGCUCAGUGGUAGAGCACUUGCUUUGCAUGCAUGAGGUACUGAGUUUGAUCCUCAAUUCCA
rnacentral:tRNA from 1 species